UCGACUCGACGUCCCGGAACAGUUUCCGCCCCAUCAGCUUUGAUGGUUGGGUAUUGGCCUACCAUUGCAACAACGGGUAACGAGGAAUUAGGGUUUGAUUUCGGAGAGGGAGCCUGAGAAACGGCUACCACAUCUACGGAUGGCAGCAGGCGCGCAAAUUACCCAACGCAGACACUGUGAGCUAGUGACGAGAAAUAAUAAAGCGGGACUUAUGUUCCGCUAUUAUAAUGAGGAAUAACCAAAGGUCAUUCCGAUUAGCAACUGAUGGGAAAGAUGAAAGUUACCUAUAAUCAGCAGUCGGCGUCUUAAGGGAUAGUCUCUUGUAAUUGUGGGACUCCAACUAGGAAUGUCUCGUAAGCACAAGUCAACAUCUUGUGUUGAUUACGUCCCUGCUCUUUGUACACACCGCCCGUCGCUCCUACCGAUCGAGUGUUUAGGUGAAUUUGAUGGACGUAAGGAAGUCAAAUAAACCUGAGCACUAGAGAAGAGAGUCGAUCAUC
rnacentral:rRNA from 1 species